ACACACACACAAAGAAUCCAAUUUUUAAAAAAUGGGCAGAGGAUCUGAAUAGACAUUUUUCAUAUACAAAUGGCCAAAACUCAUGAAAAGAUGCUCAACACUGCUAAUCAUUAGGGGAUUGCAAAUUAAAACCACAGUGAAAUACCACUUCACACCUGUUACAAUGGCUAAAAUCAAAAACAAGAGAUAAAUGUCGGCAAGGAUGAGGAGAAAAGGGAAACCUCGUGCACUGUUGAUGGGAAUGCAAACUGGUAUAGCCACGGUGGAAAACAGUAUAGAGUUUCCUCAAAAAAUUAAAAAUAGAAUUACCAUAUGAUCCAGCAAUUCCACUACUGGGUAUUUACCCAAAUAAAAUGAAAGCACUAAUUCAAAAAGAUAUAUGCACCCCUAUGUUUAUUACAGCAUUAUUUACAAUAGCCAAGAUAGGGAAGCAACCCAAGCAUCCAUCAGUAGAUGAAUGGAUAAAGAAGAUGUGGUCUAUAUAUACUAUGGAAUAUCACUCAGCCAUAAAAAAGAUUGAAAUCUUGCCAUUUGCAACAACAUGAAUGGACCUAGAGGGUAUAAUGCUAAGUGAAAUAAGAGUCAUAAAGGGGUGCCUGGGUGUUUCAGUCAGUUAAGCAUCCAACUCUUGAUAUUGGCUCAGGUCAUGAUCUCACAAUUUGUGGGUUCAAGCUGCGCAUGAGACUCUGUGCUGAUAGUGUGGACCCUGCUCAGGAUUCUCUCCUCUCUCUCUGCCCUUCCCCCACUCAUUCAUUCUCUCUCUCUCUCUCUCUCUCUCUCAAAAGAAAACUUUAAAAAAAAGUCAGAGAAAGACAAAUACCAUAUGAUUUCACUCAUAUGUGGAAUUUAAGAAAUAGGACAAAUGAACAAAUGAAGGGAAAAAAGGAACAAACAAAAACCAGGCUCUUUAAAAAAAUUUUUUUAAUGUUUAUUUAUUUUUAAGAGAGAGACAAAGCACAAGUGGAGGGAGGAGCAGAGAGAGAGGGAGACCCAGAAUCUGAAGCAGACUCCAGGCUCUGAGCUGUCAGCACAGAGCCCAGCGUGGGGCUGGAACUCACAAACUGUGAGAUCAUGAUCUGAGCCAAAGUCAGAUGAUCAAACUAGUGAGCCACCCAGGUGCCUCAAAACAGACUCUUAAGUACAGAGAACAAACUGGUGGUUGCCAGAGGGGAUGUGGCUGAGAGGAUGGGUGAAAUAGAUAAAGGAAAUUAAGAGUACACUAAUCUUGAUGAGCACUGAAAAAUAUAUACAAUUGUUGGAUUAUUAUAUUGCAUAUCUGAAACUAAUAUACACUGUAUGUUAGUUAUACUUGAAUAAAAAAAUAAUUAAAUGAAUUAAUUAAUCUAAAGUCUGUUCUAACAGUGGUUGGCGUAUGAGAGGAUCACAAGAAAUCCUCUGCCUCAUGAAGAGAACACCAGUGGAAUCCCCCCUUGGCCAGGACUCCUCCAGAAGCAGCUAAAAAAAUGUCAGUCGUGCUUUUCUUCAUCUCCUGUAACCAGAUUCUCACAACAGCCCCAUGAAGCUAUCUCAUUACAUGUGAUUUCUGAGUGAGCUUUGGACUCCCACUUGAAAGAAAUGGUCAGAUUGAGUCCUAGAAUGGAAAGAAAAGUGGAACAGAACUACCACCAGUUUGAGACUGCCAACACAUAAUGUCUCUCUCUCUUUCAUGAUGAAGUCCAAGACCAUGGAUGGGAUCUUUCAGGAUCACAAAAUACAUGUAUAUUUCCUUUCAUGGAAAAAGGAACUUCUUAAAAACCAAUAAUCUUUUAAAUGGCAUUGUGGGAAGAAGGAUUCUUCAUGCCAGGUUCUACAUCCAAAUGAACUGAGGAAAGGUACCAUGUGACAGAUAAUCAUGGAUAAAUACAAUAGGAAGCUUAACUUCCUCCUGGAGAUUGUCCAGAGCCUCUUGGCACUAAGCCAGUGUUCCCACUCCUGCUCCUGAGUACUAUUUGCGAUAGCUAAAUUAUGGAAGCAGCCCAAGUGGUCAUGGAUUGAUGAAUGGAUAAAGGAGAUGUGGUAUGUAUAUACAAUGGAAUACUACCCAGAAAUAAAAAGGAUGAAAUAAAAGGAUGAAAUAAAAGGAUGAAAUCUUGCCAUUUACAGCAACAUGGUUGAAUCUAGAGGGUAUAACGCUAAGUGAAAGAAAUCAGUCAGAGAAAGACAAAUACCAUAUGAUUUCACUCAUAUGUAGAAUUUAAGAAAUAAAACACACGAGCAAGAGAAAAAAAAAAGAGAGAAACCAAGAAACAGACACCUAAAGUAUAUAUAGAACAAACUGAUGGUUACCAGAGGGGAUUGUGGGGAUGGAUGAAAUAGGUAAUGGGGAUUAAGACAUACGCUUAUCAUGAUGAGCACUGAAUAAUGCAUAGAAUUGUUGAAUCACUAUAUUGUACACCUGAAACUAGUGUAACACUGUAUUUUAACUAUACUGGAAUUUUUUUAAAGCCUUUUGAGGGGCUUCAGGGUGACUCAGUUGCUUAAGCAUCCGACUUUUGAUUUCAGCUUAGGUCAUGAUCUCACGGUUCAUGAGUGUCUCUGUCAGUGACCCGUGUCACUGUCAGUGGGGAGCCUGCUUGGGAUUCUCUCUCUUUCUCUCUCUGCCCCUCCCCCCAUCAAGAUAAAUAAAUAAACUUUAAAAAUAAAUAAAUAAAUAAAUAGCCUUUGACAUUAUGAUUGGGAAGGCACUACAUUUACAUAUUUAUUUCCCAGGAGAAUUGACAUCUCUAAAAUAUAUGACUUCCCAUGUCAUAGUGUAUGCUAUUCUUCUAAGCAUGGCCUUCCCUGACCACCCUCUUGUAAAUCGC